rnacentral:tRNA from 1 species
AGCGGGAUCGUCGAGACCGGCUGAGACGUGUUCUUUCCUACUCAUAACCCAGAGGUCGCAGGUUCAAAUCCUGCCCCCGCUA